rnacentral:lncRNA from 13 species
AUGGUGAGCAAAGAGACUAAUCACUUGGUCACUGGCCAACACACCAACAGCAAGACCACCGACAAGCUGCCUGGCACCAUGACAGUGCGCUCAGUGCUGCUGAACCGCGACUCGCCGGAUAUCGAGAGCCGCUUAAAGCGCCGACGCAACCGCACCCAGCAGGUCCGCUUCAAAGACCUGGAGGAUGGACUAGGCAGCGGGACCACUGGAGCCAAGAGCUACCAGAAGACUACCGUUGAGUGUGACAGCCCCCACCCCUUCCGGAAGAACAGCCCCACAAGCCCCAUGGCCCCCCAAGGAUGGCUUACGGAGGCCUCGGUGGUGGGGGCAGUCCGAGGGGACAUGGCAGACACCAUUGAGGUGGUGGCGGCAUUUUUGGCUCGGGCGCCCCCUCACCCGCUAACCCCAGGGCCCACGCGCCGCUGCUGGGCACCACCGUCAUCACCCCCACUGCCAUGCUCACUCACGCUGCCCCUCUCCCGGAGGCAGUGCACUAGCAUGGCCAUCCAGACCUCCCCCCGCCUCCAGAAGCCCAAGCCCUCCGUGCUCUCAAAUGUCCGCAGCGUGGGGGACUCGGUGGGGGUGGAUGGGGACGACAAACAGGACAACGAACAUGAUGAGUACUACACUACCCACAACUACCUUUCAGAGCCUGCAUCCAGAGAUGGAAACGGCCCUGAGUUUAAGGCUAAGCAGGGAUUGGUGAACCAAACCCAGUGCCUCAGGACUAGUGAGGCUAACGCUAGCUCCCUUGCUGUUGGGAAUCACAUGGACUCUUCCUGGCAUAACUCUACUUGUUUUUCCCCUCCUAAAUGCCAGGGGAGUGCAACUCCNNNNNNNNNNCACACACACACACACACACACACACACUCUCUCUCUCUCUCUCUCCCUCGCUCUUUGUCAAUGCUUCCUCAUUCUGUCUUUCUCUCCUUUUCAUUACUUCUCUUAAACAAACUUAAUCUCCCCUUCUCACGCUUUGUGUGUCUCUCUGUUGACCCUUCUCUUAUAAUUAAAAAAAACCUGGCUACCUCAUUACAAACUUCAUUAUUAUGA